UACGUAGGGCGCAAGCGUUGUCCGGAAUUAUUGGGCGUAAAGAGCUCGUAGGCGGCCUGUUGCGUCCGCUGUGAAAUCCCGGGGCUUAACCCCGGGCUUGCAGUGGAUACGGGCAGGCUGGAGGCAGGCAGGGGAGAACGGAAUUCCCGGUGUAGCGGUGAAAUGCGCAGAUAUCGGGAGGAACACCGGGUGGCGAAGGCGGUUCUCUGGGCCUGUACUGACGCUGAGGAGCGAAAGCGUGGGGAGCGAACAGG
rnacentral:rRNA from 1 species